UCAGCAGAGGAGGUGACCAGUUGUAUUCUUGAUUUUGUGUACAAAUUUGGUGUACCUCAAAGACUGCUAACAGACCAAGGGACAGAAUUCAAGAACCGGGUAAAACAGUACAUUCAACAUUACAUGAGUAACCAUAUUGGAAACACUAAUAAUAAUUUACAUGGUCAUAUUUAAAGCUUAAUUCCAGACUCUGUCAGGUGUUAGGGAUAAAAAGGAGCUUUUGCACUCCAUACCAUCCGCAAACAAAUGGUUUGGUGGAAAAACUAAAUGGCACCAUCCAGAGAUCUCUAAACAAGCUUGUCCAGAAAACCCCCCAAAAAUGGGACAAGUAUUUGCAGUGCACAAUGUUUGCACUAAGGACCAAAAAGCAGCUAACCACGCAGUAUAGUCCUUAUUUUUUAAUAUUUGGCAGAGAAGCCUGAUGUCCCUCAGAAGUUGCAGUGAACUAUGACGUAAGCACAGAAAUCGUGAAAGAACUAGUAAAGAAGGAGACUGUCUUUGAAGGGCUGCUGGCGCGCGAGUCUGUGUAUAAAGAUGCUCAGCGCAACAUCAAAAAAUCUCAGGAGCGCUUUGCGAAGAGAAAACUUACCAAAGGCCUUGAAACUACAAUGUUGGUGACAAAGUGCUGAAAAAAAACAUUAGAGAUGAACAGCGGAAAGGAGGGAAGCUGGACACUGAUAUGCUUGGGCCCUAUGAAAUUAUCAGCAUUCAGGGCAAAACUGUGACCCUUGAAAACAAACAUGAAAGGACGGUUGCAAACACCGACCAAAUUGUUCAUUUUGUUGAGCCAGAGGAAAGAGUACCAGCUAAGCUCAAGAAAACUCAAUGUGAAUCUGAUUCCCCAUCUCCCAGCACAACCGACCAUGAAAAAGGCCCUGCUCCACAGCUUGGCAUGACUGUAGCAAAACCUGGAACCACUCACAUGGUAAAGAAAGUAUGGAGCGAAAGCAAAGGGGAGAUUUUGUGGGCUAAGCUGGGGCCUUACAAAAUCUUCACCGAAGAUUUACAGAGCCUGGCACCAGACAGAGUUGGAGAGUGAGGUAAAUUUCAUUUGUCCUUGACCUUUGCCUUUUUGAUAUAAUAUUUACCUUUUCAUUAAUUCUUUAAUAUGGGCUUGUUUCCUAGAUAGUCAAUUCUUACCUUUGGUGUGUGACCAGACCGUUACACGGUGUCAAAGUCAUUGACACUUUUCAAAUUACCAACAUUUGGAACGACACAUCAAGGGAGAUGAGACGGGUACAUAUCACUUAUUUUAUUUAGAAGGUUGUUAUUACAGGUCACUCUCUGCUGAACUCAAAUAUUC